GUCGGAACAGAACUUGAUGCAGACGCUUGGCACUGUAGCCUCCCGGGCACUCCUGCGGGCGCUCUGCGAGACGCGUGACCCUGGGUGCAAAACCUGCAGCUCCCCCGCUGUGAGCCAUCCCACCAAGACGGGCAGGAGACCAGGGCACGUUUCCUUCAUGCCAAGAGAGAACAAAUUCCUUGAGAAGUCACUUAACCGCUAAGCCACCGGGCCGGCCCCACGUGUUCCUCUACUUUAUAUGGGAUGCUGCCACAGCAUGGCUUGACAAGCGGUGCAUCGGCUCAUGCCAGGCGUCUGAACCUGCCAACGCUGCCGGCCAUCUGAACCCGCGAACCCCGCGGGCACCCAGACCCAUCCGAACCCCGCCGAACCCGCGAACCCCGCAGGCACCCAGACCCAUCCGAACCCCGCCGAACCCGCGAACCCCGCCGGGCACCCAGACCCAUCCGAACCCCG